rnacentral:rRNA from 1 species
CGUAGGGUGCAAGCGUUAAUCGGAAUUACUGGGCGUAAAGCGUGCGGAGGCGGUGAUGUAAGACAGGUGUGAAAUCCCCGGGCUUAACCUGGGAACUGCAUCUGUGACUGCAUAGCUAGAGUACGGUAGAGGGGGAUGGAAUUCCGCGUGUAGCAGUGAAAUGCGUAGAUAUGCGGAGGAACACCGAUGGCGAAGGCAAUCCCCUGGACCUGUACUGACGCUCAUGCACGAAAGCGUGGGGAGCAAACAGGAUUAGAUACCCUGGUAGUCCACGCCCUAAACGAUGUCAACUGGUUGUUGGGUCUUCACUGACUCAGUAACGAAGCUAACGCGUGAAGUUGACCGCCUGGGGAGUACGGCCGCAAGGUUG